CUAAUAUGUUGAUUAUUGUAAUACCUAUAUUUUAAAUAAGGAUGUAUUGGUCAUUAGCCAAAAAAAAAAAGGGAAGCAAAACAAAUAAAAUAAGAUCAAAAGAAUAAAAUAAUACAAAAGAAGGGAAAUAUGCUAAAGCCCAUCAGAUUGUGGCGUUCAAUAAGGGAUUGAAAACCCUUAGCCACUAAAGCAUCAAACUUAGAAAAGUUUCGCUGCUUAUAGGAGCAACAUCGUGAUUAAUCAAAAAGGAAAUUGGCAUAUAUUUUCGAGCCUCAACAAUAGAGUUCCAGAUUGCACACGAAUUGAGCAAUUGGAUCAAUAGGAAGUCGAGCUUUGGUUAGUUGGCUUUGAGAGAGAUAGCAGUUGACGCGGGCGAGAAUUUCAUCAAUUAGAGCGCACAAGUUGAUAGUUCUUGGUGAGCCUCGCACUUGUUCG